CCUACGGGUGGCAGCAGUGGGGAAUAUUGCACAAUGGAGGCAACCCUGAUGCAGCAACGCCGCGUGAGUGAAGAAGUAUUUCGGUAUGUAAAGCUCUUUCAGCAGGGACGAAAAUGACGGCACUUGCUUAAGAAGCACCGACUAACUACGUUCCAGCAGCCGCGGUAAUAAGUAGGUGGCAAGCGUUAUCCGGAUUUACUGGGUGUAAAGGGAGCGUAGUCGGCAGCAUAAGUCUGGAGUGAAAUGCCGGGGCUUAACCCCGGAACUGCUUUGGAGACUGUGGAGCUAGAGUGUAGGAGGGGUAAGUGGAAUGCCUAGUGUAGCGGUGAAAUGCGUAGAUAUUAGGAGGAACACCAGUGGCGAAGGCGGCUUACUGGAUUAUAACUGACGUUGAGGCUCGAAAGCGUGGGGAGCAAACAGGAUUAGAUACCCGGGUAGUC
rnacentral:rRNA from 1 species